rnacentral:lncRNA from 1 species
GUUAUAAGUUAGAUGUAAUUUUCGGAGAUGUAAAUUUAUGUCAGUUGCAUUUAUAACAGAUGUAACUUUACAUCUAUUAUAGCAACAACAUAUGUAACAUUUUUUUUUUCUCAUAUCUACAUGAAAUUUUUUCUUUUUCUCCUUUUUUGUUGUUGUCGUCUUCUUCUUCUUCUUCUCAUUGUUCUCUUUUUCCUCCUUGUCCUUUCUUUUCUUCUUUUUCUCCUUCUCCUUCUUCUCAUCCUCCUUCUCCUUCUUCUUCUUUUUUUUCCUCCUCUUCUUCCUUCUUCUUCCUUCUUCUUCCUUUUCUCCUUCUCCUUCUUCUUCUCUUCCUCCUCCUUCUUCAUCUAAUAAGCUAACAAGUCAAAAUCAUGCUUCAUCACGCAGCAAAGGAAGAAAAUCAGAACAAUGAUUGUUCAUGUUUCAUCAUGCACAUGUCAAUAAUGCAAAGGGAGAAAAUCAGAAAAAUGAAGUAAUGUUCAUGCUUCAUCAUGCAUGGACCAUGAUAAAUGGAGAAGAUGAGGAAAACCAACUUUAAUGUCGAAAUAAUCGGGGAAGGAGGUUUCUCGAUGCACUGCCCACAACAAACAAAGAAAACACAAGCUUCAAGCACCAAUGAAGGUCAUAUAGUGGUCAAAAUCACAAUGCCAUCAAGAGCAAUUUGCGUUGCACUUCUAUCCGCAUACUGUGUAGGAAAAAGUGAAAAUGAAAAUGAAAGUAAAAAAUCAUCGCGCAUUUUUCAUGUUUGAUAACUACUUGUUGGACAUAAAUUGGAUAACAUAAUAAGCCUAU